UAAGGCUGUGGGUCGGAUUUUCUUUACAGACAGCUGAGCUACUGCUCUCCCAUGAGUCUUUGUUUCUGUUUUUGCUGGAUAAUGAUGAUAGGCAGUGCUGGUGGCAGACUUGCUUGUUGGGGAAAGAGGCUUUGAUGAAUUACGGCUCCUCCAAAGGGACAAAUAUAUCAGUUUGCCAGCUUCAGAAGAGGACCAAAAACAACAGCAACAAAAAACAGGACCUCGAUUUUGGAAGGUGAUGCCACACUUGGGCUAAAUGGUCCAACCAGUAUUGCGUGACUGACUUGAUAAUCUCAAGGUGUUUCGUGCCAGAAAGACUGCCAAGUCUUUUGAAUGCGCUUUUGUUAUCUCCUCUACUGUAGCCUGCCAAGGUA